AAAUAAAACAACGUUCAGCAAUUGCCCUCCUCCACCUUCCUCUUCCUCUUCCUCAUCGCGAUCCUCUCUCUCAUUCUCUCUCGUUUUCUGUUAGCUUUGUCGCCUCCUCUCCUAUCGUCUCUUAUCAGCUCUAUCCAGCAAGUAAGUUUCUGCGCUAGAUGCUUGAGAAUGGAGAGAAUUAUAGGAGAGAAGUAUAAAUUAGGUCGCAAAAUCGGAAGCGGAUCCUUUGGUGAAAUCUUUCUCGCUACUCACAUUCACUCUGGUGAGAUCGUUGCUGUCAAAAUUGAAAAUAGGAGUACGAAGCAUCCGCAAUUACUCUACGAAGCCAAACUGUAUAAGAUUCUUGGCGGGGGAAGUGGUAUCGCGAAUAUAAAAUGGUGUGGAGUUGAUGGAGAAGAUAAUGUCUUAGUAAUUGAUUUGUUGGGACCGAGUCUCGAGGACUUGUUUGUGUACUGUGGGAGGAAGUUUUCGCUUAAAACAGUCUUAAUGUUGGCUGAUCAGAUGAUUGCGAGGAUUGAAUACAUGCAUGUGAAGGGGUUUUUGCACAGGGAUAUUAAACCGGAUAAUUUCCUCAUGGGUCUGGGAAGGAAAGCUAGCCAGGUCUAUGUCAUUGAUUUUGGACUUGCGAAAAGAUAUAGGGAUCCAGCAACACACCAACAUAUUACUUACAGAGAGAACAAAAACUUAACAGGAACUGCUAGGUAUGCAAGUUGCAAUACUCAUCUAGGAAUUGAGCAAAGCCGUCGGGAUGAUUUGGAGUCUAUUGGCUAUGUUCUUUUAUACUUUUUGAGAGGAAGCCUUCCAUGGCAGGGUCUGAAAGCAGCAACAAAGAAGCAAAAGUAUGAUAAAAUAUGCGAGAAGAAGUUAUCAACUCCAAUUGAGGUGCUUUGCAAGUCGCAUCCUGUGGAGUUUGCUUCUUACUUCCAUUAUUGCCACUCAUUAACUUUUGACCAACGGCCUGAUUAUGGAUUUCUGAAGCGCCUCUUUCGUGACUUGUUUACUCGGGAAGGAUUUGAGUUUGAUUUUGUUUUUGACUGGACCAUCCUGAAGUACAAGCAGACACAGAGGCCAAAGCCACAACCUCAAUCAUCUGACCUGCAGCCAAAUUCUAGAGUGACGAGCAAUCGAGCAAUGGCAAUGGAUCUCAAUAAGGAUAAAGGGGUCAAUGGUGCCUCUUAUUCUGCUGAGGUUGCUGAUCACAGAGGAUCAAAUAAGGUUGCUCGUCCAGAUACUUAUAUGCAGUUGGGGUCAUCAUUUUCUCGGAAUUUAACUGCUGAUAAUCCACUUGACAAACAUAAUAUGAACAAUGCAACAAUGCCAUCAACUUCUUUUGUUCCGCCCAGUGCAUCCAGAAGGGAUUUUAUGAAACUAGAUGGCUCAACUGAUGCUGUGAGCAGUGGUCGUGGGGCUGGGAACAGAGCUGGUGCUUCAAGCAGGUUGAUGAGAAUUUCUUCAGCGAAGUAAUUGCUGUAAUUUGGGGGACAGAAUCCAGGAUAGCAAUGUCUCUGACGUGAAGUUUGGAUGGCUUGAUCUCUUUGCAUCAAGAAUGUCAAGUUACUUAAAUGUAUUAUUCACAAGGUACCUGCAUUCUUCAUAAUCUGAAAGAAGUACCAAAAUCUAGUGUUUCAGAUUGCUAUAGUUAAAGUUUUGUAUGAAAUUCGUUUAUUGAGUGGAAAGAGCUAUUGGCAGUAUGGAUGCAAACCAAGAUGGUUUGUUAGAUCUUUGAAUUGGUGUGUGGAUUCUGGAAAGCUUUGAAUCCUAGACAUUGAGGUCUUGGGAAAAGUAGACAUUUCAAACUGUCAUCGAAGGCUGUGACAAAGAAUACGACAAGUGGACUACAAGAUGUGUCCGUGAGAAAUUCCACAGGGAUUAUGGAAAAGAAGUGCUGCUCAUAAUGCAAUAUUUUUAAAAUUAGUAACAGCUCUUCUUUUGUGGGUUCAUACCAUGUUUCAACAUUUAAAUUCUACUUGUGAUGUAUGUUUCAUUAUGAGUCAACUUCCACAGAAAUAUGAUAUUCUACGACACUCAGGGUUGAAGAAUAAAGCUAUGCAGACAUGCACUAUCUAGAGAGAGUUAAGCUACUACUACCAGACGAGGAGGCUGCUGAUAGACUUGCAGGUAGUAUGCUUGCAUUUAAAUAAAGCUCUGGAGUGAUAAUAACCAGAGUAUUCAAUUUUUAGCUGAAGGCAAGUCACCUAUUGCGUAUAGAAUAUCCUGAGCGGUAACAUGCUUUUAUAAGCAGAAAUGACCGAUUUAGUCUAGGUUAUAGGAUAUUGAUAAUUUGCUUAUUAUUUGAUAUGCUUCACCAAUAAUCCCCAUCAUGGGUGCAAAACUUGCAAAUUUAUCUUUAUAGGUUAUGCUUGAUCACCGUCGCAAUUAUUGCAUGGAGCCUGUGGAUCAUUUUAGGCCUACAGGCUCCCACUUGGUGCGGCGCUACACUGCUAGAUUUUUCUCUUAGCUAUGCAUAGCUGAGUUACACCUUUUAGACUGUUAUGAGUUGAAAGGGUAACAUUUCACAUUUGUUAAGGUUUUGUAUUCGGCGAAGCUUUCAUCCACCGGGUUCAGUAUGUACACCAACAGAUUGUGUUCUCUUAUCGG